GUGGGGAUGGUGUAACUGGUUAACAUCUUGGUCUCCAAAGCCAAAGAAUCUAGGUUCAAAUCCUAGUCCCCACG
rnacentral:tRNA from 1 species